rnacentral:rRNA from 1 species
CGGGACACGUGGUAUCCUGUCUGAAUAUGGGGGGACCAUCCUCCAAGGCUAAAUACUCCUGACUGACCGAUAGUGAACCAGUACCGUGAGGGAAAGGCGAAAAGAACCCCGGCGAGGGGAGUGAAAAAGAACCUGAAACCGUGUACGUACAAGCAGUGGGAGCACAGAGCAAUCUGUGUGACUGCGUACCUUUUGUAUAAUGGGUCAGCGACUUAUAUUCUGUAGCAAGGUUAACCGAAUAGGGGAGCCGAAGGGAAACCGAGUCUUAACUGGGCGUUAAGUUGCAGGGUAUAGACCCGAAACCCGGUGAUCUAGCCAUGGGCAGGUUGAAGGUUGGGUAACACUAACUGGAGGACCGAACCGACUAAUGUUGAAAAAUUAGCGGAUGACUUGUGGCUGGGGGUGAAAGGCCAAUCAAACCGGGAGAUAGCUGGUUCUCCCCGAAAGCUAUUUAGGUAGCGCCUCGUGAAUUCAUCUCCGGGGGUAGAGCACUGUUUCGGCAAGGGGGUCAUCCCGACUUACCAACCCGAUGCAAACUGCGAAUACCGGAGAAUGUUAUCACGGGAGACACACGGCGGGUGCUAACGUCCGUCGUGAAGAGGGAAACAACCCAGACCGCCAGCUAAGGUCCCAAAGUCAUGGUUAAGUGGGAAACGAUGUGGGAAGGCCCAGACAGCCAGGAUGUUGGCUUAGAAGCAGCCAUCAUUUAAAGAAAGCGUAAUAGCUCACUGGUCGAGUCGGCCUGCGCGGAAGAUGUAACGGGGCUAAACCAUGCACCGAAGCUGCGGCAGCGACGCUUAUGCGUUGUUGGGUAGGGGAGCGUUCUGUAAGCCUGCGAAGGUGUGCUGUGAGGCAUGCUGGAGGUAUCAGAAGUGCGAAUGCUGACAUAAGUAACGAUAAAGCGGGUGAAAAGCCCGCUCGCCGGAAGACCAAGGGUUCCUGUCCAACGUUAAUCGGGGCAGGGUGAGUCGACCCCUAAGGCGAGGCCGAAAGGCGUAGUCGAUGGGAAACAGGUUAAUAUUCCUGUACUUGGUGUUACUGCGAAGGGGGGACGGAGAAGGCUAUGUUGGCCGGGCGACGGUUGUCCCGGUUUAAGCGUGUAGGCUGGUUUUCCAGGCAAAUCCGGAAAAUCAAGGCUGAGGCGUGAUGACGAGGCACUACGGUGCUGAAGCAACAAAUGCCCUGCUUCCAGGAAAAGCCUCUAAGCAUCAGGUAACAUCAAAUCGUACCCCAAACCGACACAGGUGGUCAGGUAGAGAAUACCAAGGCGCUUGAGAGAACUCGGGUGAAGGAACUAGGCAAAAUGGUGCCGUAACUUCGGGAGAAGGCACGCUGAUAUGUAGGUGAAGUCCCUCGCGGAUGGAGCUGAAAUCAGUCGAAGAUACCAGCUGGCUGCAACUGUUUAUUAAAAACACAGCACUGUGCAAACACGAAAGUGGACGUAUACGGUGUGACGCCUGCCCGGUGCCGGAAGGUUAAUUGAUGGGGUCAGCGCAAGCGAAGCUCUUGAUCGAAGCCCCGGUAAACGGCGGCCGUAACUAUAACGGUCCUAAGGUAGCGAAAUUCCUUGUCGGGUAAGUUCCGACCUGCACGAAUGGCGUAAUGAUGGCCAGGCUGUCUCCACCCGAGACUCAGUGAAAUUGAACUCGCUGUGAAGAUGCAGUGUACCCGCGGCAAGACGGAAAGACCCCGUGAACCUUUACUAUAGCUUGACACUGAACAUUGAGCCUUGAUG